rnacentral:rRNA from 1 species
AGUCAUAUGCUUGUCUCAAAGAUUAAGCCAUGCAUGUCUAAGUAUAAGCGACUAUACUGUGAAACUGCGAAUGGCUCAUUAAAUCAGUUAUGGUUUAUUUGAUGGUACCUACUACUUGGAUAACCGUAGUAAUUCUAGAGCUAAUACAUGCAGGAAGACCCGACUUCGGAAGGGUUGUAUUUAUUAGAUAAGAAACCAAUCCAGCUUGCUGGUUGCGUGCCGAGUCACAAUAACUGCUCGAAUCGCAUGACUUUACGUCGGCGAUGGUUCAUUCAAAUUUCUGCCCUAUCAGCUUUCAAUGGUAGGAUCGAGGCCUACCAUGGCGUUUACGGGUAACGGAGAAUUAGGGUUCGAUUCCGGAGAGGGAGCCUGAGAAAUGGCUACCACAUCCAAGGAAGGCAGCAGGCGCGUAAAUUGCCCGAAUCCUGACACAGGGAGGUAGUGACAAGAAAUAACGAUACAGGGCUACAUCUAGUCUUGUAAUUGGAAUGAGUACAAUUUACAUCUCUUAACGAUGAUCAAU